rnacentral:rRNA from 1 species
UGCCAUCAGCCGCGGUAAUACGGAGGGGGUUAGCGUUGUUCGGAAUUACUGGGCGUAAAGCGUACGUAGGCGGAUUAAUAAGUUAGAGGUGAAAUCCCAGGGCUCAACCCUGGAACUGCCUUUAAAACUUUUCAGCUAGAGUAUGAUAGAGGAAAGCAGAAUUUCUAGUGUAGAGGUGAAAUUCGUAGAUAUUACACAGAAUACCAAUUGCGAAGGCAGAUUACUAUCAAUUAACUGACGCUGAGGGACGAAAGCGUGGGUAGCGAACAGGAUUAGAUA